rnacentral:lncRNA from 1 species
AAAAACAUUCUUUAAAAUGAAUGAGAACAGCAAGGUUUUCUUUUGAUUUUGUGUUGAUGUGUAUUCUGCAUGAUUUAAAUGUUAAAGUUUCUUGAAGUAACAUGUCCAAGUUUUCACCAGUUCUUUCCAGUGAAUUUGACUACAUGACGAUAAAUAACACAUGCUAUUAAACAUAUAAUUUACAAUGAUAAUUUUGAUAAUUUUCUUUAAAU